GUUACACCAAGAGAUUAAGUUAUAUUUUAAGGUAAAAAGACAGUUAGGCUUAAAAUAAAUUUAGUGUUUGUUGACCAUUUAUAAAAAAGUAAAAUUUGAAUAUAAAUAGUUAAACCAGUAAUGACAUAUGUGCUGAAGCUGUGAUAAUUAUGAGGGAAACUGGGAUUAGAUACCCCACUAUUCUUAAUUGUAAAUCUAAUUAAAUUUACCAGAGUACUAUGAAUAUAUUAAAAAUUUAAAACUCAAAGGGCUUGGCGGUGUCUUAGACCUAUCAGGGGAACCUGUCUCAUAAUCGACAAUCCACGUUAAACCUAACCUUAUUUUGUAUACAGUUUGUAUACCGUCGUCGUCAGGUAACUUUUAAAAAAUUAGAAGUUAGCAAUAUAAAUUAUUAUAAAUUUAAACGUCAGAUCAAGGUGCAGCUAAUAAUAAGGAGAAGAUGGGUUACAAUUAUUUAAUUUAUAAUCACGGAAAAUUAAGUGAAAAUAGAAUUUAUAAGGAGGACUUGAAAGUAAAAUAAAAUAUAUAAAUAAUUUGAAUGUGGCUCUG
rnacentral:rRNA from 1 species